rnacentral:rRNA from 1 species
UACGUAGGGUGCAAGCGUUGUCCGGAAUUACUGGGCGUAAAGAGCUCGUAGGCGGUCUGUCGCGUCGGCUGUGAAAUCCCGGAGCUCAACUCCGGGCCUGCAGUCGAUACGGGCGGACUCGAGUUCGGCAGGGGAGACUGGAAUUCCUGGUGUAGCGGUGAAAUGCGCAGAUAUCAGGAGGAACACCGGUGGCGAAGGCGGGUCUCUGGGCCGAUAUUGACGCUGAGGAGCGAAAGCGUGGGGAGCGAACAGG